AUGUCGUCGAGGUCGAGCCCCUUGGCUUUGAACAUUGACUCCAGCACCGUGACGUUGGCGAAAGGAGGGGGCAGGUCACGGAGGGUCUCGUUGGCGAAAGACACACGCCCGUCGUACCGGCCAGCCGGCAUCUUGAAGUCUACCAUGCCGUUGCUGAGGAAGAAGGUGGCGUCGCGCCCAGCGAAGGCGACGAUGUCAGCGCACGAGACAACCUCCUUGCACUCCUUCUCAAGCUUCUCCUUCGCAGCGUCAAUCACCUCGAAGCCGCGGAGGCUAGGGAAGUUUGGGAUGCCAAGCUUCUCCGGCUCCGGGUUGGCCGUCGUCGGGUCUAGGAGAACCGAGGCAUCGCAACCCUAG
rnacentral:rRNA from 1 species